UCAGAUGCUGCAGGUGAUCUCAGGAGAGUACUGACAGGGUAUUGGUGGACAUCAAGAGCAUCUGCCACAAUAUUUUAAUUAGUUAAAACAUUUUAAAGAAAACUGUCUUUCCUGCUGAAGCAAGACUUGAGAACUAUAUAUCCCUUGCUGUCCUAUUGACUGGCCCGGAAGACAGUUUCAUUAAGUGCCUGGCAAGAUAAUAUUACCAAGAAUGUGGAACAAUGGGAACCCUCAUACACUGCUGGAUGCUAGUUCUAAGAUAUAUUUUGUGGCAACAACAACAAAAAAGCUGUGUUGUCAGAUUAGUUUGGGGACCCUAGAUUAAACAACAAUAAGAGG